rnacentral:rRNA from 1 species
GACGAACGCUGGCGGCGUGCUUAACACAUGCAAGUCGAACGAAGAGCGAUGGAAGCUUGCUUCUAUCAAUCUUAGUGGCGAACGGGUGAGUAACGCGUAAUCAACCUGCCCUUCAGAGGGGGACAACAGUUGGAAACGACUGCUAAUACCUCAUACGAUCUGACCUCGGCAUCGAGGAUAGAUGAAAGGUGGCCUCUAUUUAUAAGCUAUCACUGAAGGAGGGGAUUGCGUCUGAUUAGCUAGUUGGAGGGGUAACGGCCCACCAAGGCGAUGAUCAGUAGCCGGUCUGAGAGGAUGAACGGCCACAUUGGGACUGAGACACGGCCCAGACUCCUACGGGAGGCAGCAGUGGGGAAUCUUCCGCAAUGGACGAAAGUCCGACGGAGCAACGCCGCGUGAGUGAUGACGGCCUUCGGGUUGUAAAGCUCUGUUAAUCGGGACGAAAGGCCUUCUUGCGAAUAGUUAGAAGGAUUGACGGUACCGGAAGAGAAAGCCACGGCUAACUACGUG